GGCCUAGAAGGAAGUAAAGGUCCAGUUUUACUUUUGUCCACUUCUUAUGUCAGGAAUCUCACUAUUUUCAAUAUUUUUUUUCUUUAAUCGUUAAGCAUCUUUUCUCGUUUUAUAAUAACUCAGGUCUUGUAGCAUCACUACCAUCUUAAAUCUAGAUAGAACUUCCUCCUCACAGUUAUGGUUUGUGUAACUUUAAAGAGAUGAGAGGAAAAGGGAGUUAAAAUUGGAGGAAGGUUUAGGCAUGGGGGUGUAGGAAAGAAAAUGUAAUAACAUAUGCAGUUAUGCUAUGUUGUUUUUUCUUACCUACACCUCCCAUACCUAUGCUUUUCUUCUAUUUCUCCCUCUUCCCUUACUUUCUGCACCCUUCUCGAUUUGUUGCAUGCGAAGAAACUAAAGUUUAGGGAACCUUGUUGAACUGAUUAGGGAAGCUGAGCGUUAUUUCCAUGAAAGAUGACGAUUACUACAAACACAAAAAGUGAUGGUCGGAAACAAUAUUUGACCGCUGAAAGAGUACAAUGUACCCUAAGAUGAAGAAUCCCAUUCAAGUAUUGUUCGUCCUGCCAUACCAGCGAAUAACUUUGUGGUAAAACCCUCAUUGUUGUCCAUGGUAUAACAAAACCAAUUUUCUGGUUCGCCAACGGAAGAUCUGAAUUUACAUCUUUCGGUCUUUUUCAAUUUCUGUAAAAUUCUUCCUAUAAUUAUAAGAUGUAGAAGGGAUGACACAUCAUCAAGUAUAAUGGACAUUUCACCAAUUAGAAGAUGAAAUGAUGAUGUCUCAAA